AAUUAAUUCUACCACGCUUCUGAUGGUGUACUGACACUGUACCUGAUACAACCGUACAGGUACGAUGCAGCCACUGUUUGUACCACACUACAGUGGCAUAAAGCUCAAACAUCACAGAGCAGCAUCUGGUGUGCUGUGAAAGUGAUGUUGAAAUUGCUUCUGGGUGGUUUUUUUUCAGUUUCAUGUUUGUUACUCACUGAGAGGUGCUACGGGACAAAACCAAUUUGCACUUGUCCGGGCAGAGUGUUUAAGUGUGAACCUUCAUCUAGAAACACACACUCGCACACAGGAAGGGGGAUGCUGUAAGAGCAGUGCAGCCAAUUUCUUUUGUUGCUCACAACCACAUUUUCCUCCUCUGUUGUCCAGAUUUGCUUUCCCGUGUGUUUCCAAGUGAGCAUCUUAGCCAACGUGAUCACACAUUAUUAAACAUCUGGCACAUUCACCAUGAAGUGAAGUAACGGUGUCCAAUGGAGAGCCUCGGAACGGGGGGAGCAGGGUUCAUCCUGCGGGUGCCAGGCACAUCCCAGCUCAUGUUCUCAGCCUCAUUGUUCUGCAGUGAGAGAGCCCAGGAGGGCCUUCCCUGUUCUGUGCGGGAUUGCUCUCAGCAAAACAGUGAGCAGAAGAUGCGGUAUGGGUUUUGACUUGUUCUCCAGUGAGAGCAGUUCUCUCACAUUCUUUGCCUUGUUGGCUGGGCAAGUGGCCCAAUGGUACCUAUCCUCCAGCAGGAGUGCUGCGUUUGGUGUCUGUUUCUUGCUGAUCUUGGAAAGCAAAAUAUGGAAAUUGUACAUCAGAUAAAUAGACAACGUGAGCCCCACUGCCUUAGAAAAAUGGGAUGGAAGUUAGCUAUUUUCUUAGUAGGCUAUUGCUCUUUCAUCACGUCCCUCUUGCUCCAGCCCCGGAUUGAAGUUUUCUGUUUGAUAUUCAUCUCAUGCUGGGACUUGAGGCAUCAACCUGUACUGCCCAGAAGAGGUUUCCUUGCUCCUCACAAGGAGCCUUUGUCCCCCCUGAGAUCAAUCAGAACAUUUUCCCCAUUCCUCUAUGCUCAGCAGAUGGGGCUGCUCGUGCUCCCUCCCCUCUCCCCUACCAUUGCCAUGCACCACAUCCAGGAACUGUUGUUCUAACUCUCCUCCUUCCCUAAGUAAAAUAUACUCGAUUGGGAAGAGGUAGAGGAACAGGGAAAUAGCUGGGUUUAUUUUAAUAGUUUCCACUCUCUGUUCAGUUUUAUAGUACAGUAUAUUUAACUUUAACGUAUGGACAGCUGGAUGCAUUUAACAGCACAAUGGAAAGAAUUUAGCAAGUGUACAUUACAGCCGUGUGUUUGGAGCUGAUCACCACGUAUUUCUCCGUAAUAUUUAGAUGUGCUUGUUCUAGAUUGUGUUGGGCUGAUCAAAAUAUGUUUGUGUCAGGUAAGAUUUGUCAUAGAUGAGCCUCUUUAUUUCUUUACUUACUAAAACUCUUCCUAAAGGAAGAGGCUCGGUUUAGCUGAUAUCAGCAAGUUCAGCCUGACGCUUAAGAUAGGGUUACUUGCCUUCUCUGCAGAAGCUGAAAAAAAGCCAUAAAUACACAGAAACUUAGGAGCAUAUUCUGAGCACAGGCUGUGGGCCCAUUACUCCUCUUGUGUCACCUUCACUGGCAAACCACUUGGGGAGCAGAGCAUCACCAAAGGAUCAGAAUCCAACCAAUGCACUGUAACGAUGGGAAACGGCUGCAGCAGGACACAGAGCUGUAAAUCCUUCACCUCCACCAUCAGCCCCGCAGCCCGCUCUGCACUGCUGACUGGUGCACCCUCCCCAUGGCAUGAGGGAAGUUAUUGCUGUGACAGCAAGCGAAGCAGGGCAGCAGCCUUCUCUUUUCCUCAAAAAAAUAAAAAAAAUAAUAAAAAAGGAGAAAAUUCUGCAAUAUUUCAAAUCUUUAACCACUUCUAUGCCAUUCAGGUGCCUGAAUGAUGUGAUUUUUCUCAAGCUGAUCUUCUUGUCACUAUUUGGUUACUCAGUGCCUACGGCAGCAAUGCAAACAGAAGGCAGAUCAGCCAGGCCCACUUGCUAGCACACUUGGCCAGCUUUCCUUCCGUCGCUGGAAAAUAUUAAUGAUUGCAUCUCAAAGUAGAUUUGUUUUUUAAUUUCUUCCCUGUGUAUUUCCCUGCUACUGCAAGACAAAUACUGACAAAAUGUAGGGGUUUGUAUUUAAAAGGUGCUCUUAUAAAAAAUGCCGAAGAGAUGUCAGAGCCGAAGGAACAGCAAUACUUCUGAUUUGGAGAGAUUCCAACACGUAACACGGCUCAAUCGCACAUUCCAGGCUGUGAGAGAGAUUCAGUUAUUUGGGAAAUUACAACCAUUUUAGUUUGGUUUGGAGAGAUACGUUACUUUGCCUCUAAGCAUUGGGGGGAGGGAGGAAAGAAGGAGAAAGAUGCUCAAGGAGGAAAGAAAACACCUUUGAAAGAAAGACCAAAUUGUUGGAAACCUCUGAAGUGCUCACAUUAAUGUCAUGUCAUUACACCGUAUUGCUGCACAGGUUAAUAUAAUUGGGUUACUGUGUGUGAGCAAUGAUCCAUAGCAUGUUAUGGCACUGAAACAAAUGACAUUUAACCAAGAGAUUUGUAAGGCACCUUGUUAUCUGCAUGCUGAGCAAUUGCAGCAGAGAUUCAGAUUGCUAGACGAGGGACUGACAAAUUAGUUGUUGGGUUUACUGGACAGCCUGGAUUUAUAACCACGCAAUUCCCACAUAAUUUAUUAGAUCCAUAAACAGACAUAUCCAGUGUUUUUACUUAGAUUACGCUUCUGUCACUGCCUGUGAUCCUGUCCGGUUGCAGUGGUGCUGCAGGCUGGUUGUGUUCUUCAUACAGCAGUCCUCAGCUGGGGGCAAGGUGAGCUGACACCAAUAAGCUGCAGCUUUCUAGCAACAGAAGCAUCUAAACUCCAGUAUUGAAAGAAAUAAUCUGUAAAUGCACGGGGCCCCAGCUCCCAACCUUAGGCUCUCCAAGAAAGGAAGGAAGAAAAUGGAAGAGAUCCAGGGGAAAUAAAGGCACAGGUGGUCAUGGUGAUCUGAUCCUGCCUCAGACUCUAGGAGAAUGAAACAUCCCCAUUCCGUUCCCUCUCUUCGGGGCUGGGCUAGAGAGCAAACAGCUCGGCAUGGCCCCAGCUGUAGGACAGAGUUGCAUCCAUCCUGGAAGGACUUUCUUUAAAAUGCCCUCUGGAAAAAAAGCCAACACAUCUUCCCUGGGCAGGUUAUUCCAAGCCUAUGACUUGUACCAUUUCCCCAGUACCCAUCUGCUAUGAUUUAGAUCAAUGAUUUCUUUGGGGGACAAAGGAAUAAAGAAAAGAAGUGCUUAUCUCCCUCCCUAUGGACCCUCUAUCAGAUUAAAGCAGAGCUAUGUGGUGUCACCACCAUGUGCCCUUGGCUGCUCUCCCACACCUUGCCUCUGGGACUUUGCUCUUCCCACCUUGUAGAAAUCCAAAUCCUUGCCCUUUUUAUGAAGCUCUUUUUCAGCCUUUCAGCCAUUCAUUCCCCACUCAGCCACACACUGCUGGCAGUAGUGGUGCCCAGGGCUGACUCUGAGCUGCCCUGACCCUCAGGAGGUCGCCUGAGGGGAACAAAUGUGUCCUUCUGGUUUUUCCAUUCGAGGAAAUGAGGAAAUGAUGAAAUGUUGCCUGUGUUCAGAGCCUUGGCUCACACCAACAUUUUUAUGAGGUGACAAAAUGAUCACCUUUGGGCUCGCGGCUGCUGACUUAGGCCAAAACUACAGGUCCAAGACUACCACCCAGGAGAGUAUUCUUGCUCCAAAUCCAGCUGGCAUCUUGGGAUCAGUUGCUCACUUUCCAGGUUAGAGACCCGUUUUGUUUGGGCUAGAUAAAUGCUGGAGAGAUGCCCAAGUUUUUUGGAUGUCUCCCCACAGCAAAUCCAAACUCCACUUCUUUUGGAAGUUUGCCUCUCUCUGGUUAGGAUUUGAAAAACUCCUCUCAAAGGUUGAUUGAGUUCAAAAUAACGUGGGGUAACUUGUGAGACUGACUCCAAGCUUCAAGUGUAAGCUUGUAGAGCCUUUGCAUUAGGUAAUGAAGGCAAGAGAGGAGCCCAAACUCGAUCAAAGUGCUGGGAAGCCAUGAGCUGUGCAGGAGUUUGAAAUCCCAAGAUGGGAAGUGAAGCCCAGUGAGCUGCAAGCACAUGGGCUGAGCCAUGCUGCUGCCAUUUGAAGGGCCCAGGGCUGAGUUGGUAAUUCAGAACCUGAGCAAAUUUGAUGGAAAGCUUUGACAUCAUGGGCAUGGUUGGAUGUUAGGAAACAUUUCUUCUCUGAAAGAGUGGUGCUACAGUGGCACAGCCACCCAUGGAGGUGGUGGGGUCACCGUCCCUGGAGGUGUUCCAGACCAGUGGAGAUGUGGCACUGAAGGACGUGGUCAGUGGGCAUGGUGGGAUGGGUUGGGGUUGGACUUGAGGAUCUUAGAGGUCUUUUUCAAUCUUAAUGAUUCUGUAUUUCUAUGAACCCCACCUGGAGAUUGCUCCCACUCUUUGCAAAGCCACUGAGUUCUCCUGAAGGGCCAACACUACUGGGGAAAGGAGGUUGUGUUGUAAUGGCUGAUGGAGAUUAUGCUCCUGGAGAGAAGCACAGUGCAAAAGAUAAAGCAGCGUGCUGUCCACUGUGGAAAUGUGCCCUUUUCUCUGUGAAGAAAAAGAGAUUUUUCAAAGGGGAUGCUAUAUUUUAUUCCUGCAUUAAAUAGAAGACCACAUAAAAAGGUUUCUGUUAAAUAUUAACCAGAAAGUAGAAAGACAGUGAGAGUUCCCUUUCCUUCUCUGCUUCUUGUAGGGACCGCUGACCACCAAGAAAUUAAUCUGCUGAGUGUUAAUUGACACUUUGAUCUCUCAGUUGUUAUUUUGGGUUGCAGGAAAGGCUGAUAAUGAACCCAAAAUUGUUGAAUGAAGACAAUAGCAGUGCCUAUGCCAAAGCCUGAAGUGGGCUUGUUGCUGCCAUGGCCCGGCAUUAUGCUGGAACCACGAUCAGGCAUCAUUUCUCUGAGGCACGCAAAGGUGGACAUCUUGGAUGAAGAUUCUUCUUAAACUAUAAGCUGGAGAUAAACAUUUGGGGGAAAAAUCCUGGGCAAUGAGUCAGUGAACAUAGCGGUGAGUGUCUGCAGAAAGCUGGCCAGCUCCUUCCAUUAAGGAGCCAGUCUUUGGCUAGCUCUCCAAAGGAGGCUCAGUGACUGUGUACAUUAAAAAUGCUAUCACCAUUAUGGUCUGUUCACUAAAGGUACAAGAGCAUGACAAAUAUAUGUAAUUUGCAAAUUGGCUGGUCUUUUGCAAUAAUUUAGAGACACUAGUUAGAGGCAAUAGAAAUCUAACAAUUACUGAUGUUUAAGGUUUGCAUUGUUGCUCUGUGAAUAUUUCAUGCAUAAAUGAACUUCCCCUGGACCAACUGCUGUUUCUGAUGAGGCGCUCUGAGGCUUUAUUGCCAAAUACACAGCAGGGCUCCCCCAAUGAGCCACAUAACAGAUGAUGCAUCGUCUUCACGGCUUAAAUAAUGCAGAGUAUCUGCAUUCUGUAGAGCGGUGGUACCGUUUAUUUACAUAUCAAUGGAGUGGCCAGAGCGAAUAUGAAGAAAUAUGUGAAGGAAAGGACAUAGCACUUUUAAUAUUUCAUAUUCACCCUGCAGGAAGAGCCUCGGCCGGCUGGGUGUGAGUCAGAGUGCCUGGUCUGUGUGUGCAUGUGUCUCCUUAACAAAACCUCUUGCACACCUGAUGAAACGCACGCUUUCUUGCAUGCCUGUGAACUUUUUCAGAGCUAGUGAAAACAAAAGGGGUGUUCUGCCAAUCAGAGGUCGGAUCUCCAAGUGCUGUUUGUUAGGAAGAGAAACAAACCCACCCUCAGGUCUCCUCCUGUUCCGUCUGGGGCUGAUGGGAGAUGUAGUCUCGCUCUGCGCGGCACCGAAGAGGAUUUCUGCUGCAGCUAUUGGGGCUGCAAUGAAGCCCAGAGCCCACGGGAAAAGCAUCACCCAAAGCAAAGAACUAUCGCAACAGCUGGUGAUGCAUACCCCAGUUUGGGUUCAUGAAAGGGGAAAACGAUUGGCAAAAGUAGGACUUUCACAUCGCUGUGCACAUAGGACUGGGAGCUCCGGGUCCUCUCUCCAGAGUUAUGCAGUAUUCGGGCAUGACCCACUCAUGGAAUGCCCCUUCCUGGCAUAUGGAUGCACCUCAGAGCUCUGCCCGGAAGCAAAGGGCACUGCUCCAAGUGCUGGCUGCCAUCACGCCCCCCCCCCCCACCCAGAGCAAAGAUUUCCAGCCUCCACACAUCAGCACUGAGAUCAGAUGAGUAAAACAGCAACCUGCUCCCUUGCUGGAAUUAGUCACUCCAUGGAGAGAUGGACACGAUGGGGUGCAGGUAUAGGUGGUCCACCUGCAGGACUGGGGAUGUGCUCCUGCCAGCAACCCCCACCUCCUGCCCUGCCCAGCAUCUCCCUGCGUUAACCCACACGUGAAGGAGAACUGAUGCGCUCCAGCCCUUUCUUGUACGAUCCCAUUAAAAUUCCAAUGCAAAUGACCAGAUUCAUAAUCCGAGCUUCAUUGGGAAACACAGUUUCCUGCUUUCCCCUGUAAUGAAAUUAUUGGCUGUGCAGAUGCUCCAUUUCUGAGCUAAUUCAAUCUCCGACUGUUUCUUUUCGGAGCGUAUGUGUGAGGGCAGGGCUGUGCGGGGCAGGGCCGGCUGUGUGCACACCCCACAUCUGCACUGCACGCUCCCCAUGCACAGAUAGCCAAUUAUAAGUGUAAAUGCGAUGGGAAUACGAGCGGUGUAUUCGCUAGGCGUGAUUGAAAGUAAACUGGGAAAGCUAAAAGCAGCUUAGUCGCCAGAAUGUAAUACACUGCAGGGGCAAGUUGUGAAAAUGCCUGAUUAUUCUCUUUUGCUCGCUGCAUCCCUGGGGGAUCUCCCUGAACUGCUCCUUUAACUGCUCAACUUGCCUGUUCCACAGUGAUAGUCAGCAGAUGAAGCCCUUCACAUUUAAGUGUAAUAGUGCCAGAGAGACCAACUGCUCCUCAGAGUUACGACCUAUAAAUGUCGCUUCUGUGUCAGAAUGAGGAUGUGGCACUGAAGAUGCUGAAGUCUGCAGAGGGUUUGCUUGGCAAUUCAUGCAGGCCAUUAAGCUCACUCCUCCCCUCGUCCCCCCAGCGUUGUGUACACUGGGAUUUCUUGCUUGCUUUCACAGCUUGCCGAGUGCUUCUUCCAAAGCUGGCAAUAACCAAGCAGUACAUCUCCAGGACAGGAUGCUCUUCUUGUCACUGCCGUGGCAAAUGGGAGCUCUGCGAUGGGGUGCCUGUGUUCACCUGCACCCUGCGGGCGGGGAAGGAGGGUGGCACAGGACGUGGUGUCUUGCCCAGGGAGGUGGCUAUGAGCCAGGUGCAGUGCUGCCAGAUGUUUGUGGCCAAGGGAACAACCACAUCAGGGGCAUCUUCCAUCUCUCUGCCUUGGUCAGGACUUGAUCACUGCUCACAGCAAGAAGAAUGAUAACUGAGGGUGGUGGUGGUGGUACUUCUUGGCUCCUUGUAGCUGGAAACCCAAAUAAUCAAUCACUGCCGUAAGCAACUUCUCAGAAGAAAUGCAGCAUUUACACCACAGCCACACCUAGCCCGGCACCCAGCUUUGCUUAGGCACAAGAUAGAGAUCUCAGAUAUGUAGUUUUUCCAUUUGUGGAUGGCUUUGGGACUCAGUACAGCAAGCACAGCUCCGGGAGGGAUUGCAGCAGUCACCCAGGCUGGCAUCAGCCUCUCCAAACUCCAUCACCCCACGCGUGGGGCUCUGCACGGCUGAGCAAGCAGCUGAUCCUGCAGCCACCUGACUGCAGCCACUGGUUGGAGCGGGGCUGGGAUGGGGGGGGCAGAGCUGAGGAUCCUUUUGAGGCCACCACCUGGGACUGGCGGCACUUCUACUAAUGCACAGUGAGCAGCUAAAUCAUACAUUAUUGAUUUGUCAGACGUAUUUGCAUAUAAAUAAGCAUGAUCAUUCAUACAAACCUUAAUGUUGUUGUUCUCCCUUUAGUGUUGUGAUCACAGAUGAAUGACUCUAGUUAGACACAAUUCAGGAGCGCUUGUACCACCGCAGCAAAGUAAGCUGCUGAUUUAAAACUACAUUUAUUGGAGCAUGUAAGUGUGACAGUCUAUUGGUGAAUUUGGGGAUAAUUAGUCUAAAAGACAAGAUAAAUGAAUCCUGAAAGUGGUAUUGUGAUGAAGAAAUGAUCCCUCCAUGCUAGUAAAGCUUUGAUGCCAGAAAUAUUGUAAAUGAUAAUUAACUGGGAAACACAGAGGAAUUAUAUUUCGGUUGUGUUUUCAAAAAGACUUAGGGUUUUACAGACAAAUUGAUUGGGUUCUCCCCCUCCCCCAGCCCUGUGAUUAUGAAAGAUCGUCUAAUUUACAACUUGAACUGUGAAGCGUAUGACAAAUCACUGGCUUGCUUUUAUGCCUCUUGUUUGUAGAUCCUCUCUGGUAGAUAUCCGCUUAUUGUUUUUAAGCAAACCAAGACGUGUGUUUUUCAAUUAGUCUUUCCCCAGGCCUGAUCUAGACAGAUCUGCAGGCCAGCACAACACGCUGACCCAUGACAAUUAUAUCUGCUGUAUUAAUUCAUUAAGCAUCACAGGAUCAAGCUGUAAGAUCUCGCUCCCUGAUAACAGCAGCAGCAUGAGCCGGGUUAGUCUGCAUCCCUGCCCCGAAAAGAAAAUAAUAUAGAUUGUGCAAUGCAGGGGAAACAUUGCUUGCUAACACUUCAUUUUAAUUGUCCUAAAUUAGAGCUGAAGACUUACAGAACUGUGCGUGACAACCAAUGAAUACCAAAUGAAUUCAUUAGGAUCAGCGCUGUUACAAUGAAUAACUAACAAAUCUAUAACGGCGUCUGUACCCUUUGUGCCUCACUGCCGGCUGCAGGACCCAUCCUGGCAUGGACUGCCUGCAGGGCUCACUUGCACGCUUGGGGUGCAUGGUCACAGUGACACAGCCUGAGCCACCCUGUGCCUCCUCCCGAGGGGUGGACCCAUCUCACUGGUACCAUUGAGCCAACAAGAGCCAACCAGCCAUUGGUGUGCCUGGAGCAGCCCAGGCUGUUGCAGAGGCUGUGAGGGUCCUGGGGAUUUGGGGGAGGUGAUGGGGGAUAAAAAGGAGAAGCAGCUUUGUCUGAAGGAAUCUUUGCCAUGUAAUUUUCCUGUAGGAGACACCAUAACUUGCAUAUCUCCACCAGGCUGAGACAGCAAAUGAAGGGGAGAAAUGAGGGUUUUAGGAUUUAGAUAGGCAGAGGGGGUUUUUUUUUGUGUGUGUUUUUUUUCCAAAGCUGAGGGUCUUUUUUGGGGGGAGGUUGGAGGGGUGAAUACUGAAUGUGGAAAUAGAAAAGACAAUGGCUGCAGCUGUGUGGGGUCAGGGAGCCUUGUGGCACGGGGACAUCCCACGCACCCUCCUGGAGCACCCCGGGGUGCACCGAAGCAGGAUUGGGUUCCUCCUGCCAGGAUAAGGCCCGUGCUGCCAUAAUGGGUAUCUGCUGAUGGGAUGUUCAGAGGGCCGCAUGCAGAGCCGGGAGAACACCCUGCUCAGCACCAACACUGUUAGCUCCUCCAUGAUGCUGAAUUCUACUUCCCCUGCUAAAGUCUCCCAUUGUUCCUAGCGUGUAAAGAAGGAGGGAAUAUUUCUGAUUUCCAAGAAGCCCAGAAAUGUGCACGAGCUCUCAAACUGUGGCAUUUGUUGCUUUCAGAAAGGGAUGCCCCACUCAGUGGGGAGCUCACCACCUCUUAGUGCUGCUGUGUUGGGGGUCGGCAGUGAAGCUUUGCCUUUCUGCCCCAGCCCCAAACAGUGGUCACUGGCCUCAAAAGGAAUUCAUUCUGAAUGCCAGCUCCAGCCCUUAACUUCCACAUAUCUCCAAAAGUACCACCAGUGAAGAAACGCUUUGGAGUGGAGCAGCAUAGACAGCAAGGGGUGAUUGCUUCUCAGCUUCCUUGCAGCAAAGCUGUCCAAGCGAAAGCGUCUUGGUCAACAUUCUCAAGACACGUUGAGCUUUUUGAACAGAACGCUUGGGUUUAGCACAAAAAAAAGAAAAACCAAAACCCAGUCUUGCUCUGUAGGAGUCUAUGGGAAGGCUGAGGAAGGGAUGCCAGUGUGGAGAUGAAGACAGCCAGGAAAGUGGGUCCAGGUGGUAAUUUUCUCUCAAACGUUUUCCUGGGCUGCAUUGCAGGAGCCGGGCCCUGCCCUGCUGAUGUGCUUUUGGGAAAUGUGGUUCAUCCUGGAUAAAGAAAGUAGAAGUGGGAGCCUCUCUGGUGUGCAGCCUCCGCCUCCAUGCAGGCUGUUUGCAAACUCUCCCCAUGCUUAUCAUCAUGUAAUUGAAAUAAUGCGUAUUGACAGAGACUUGAAAACAACUGCUCAAUUUUCCUCAAAAUUCAAUUAAACUUCGUUUAUUCUGGGGAUCGAUCCAAUUAAAAGGGGGGAAAUUUCAGAUGGUCUGAGCCUUACAAUCCAUCUUAACACACUGUGUCUAUCACCGUGAUGUAAUAAUUCCCCCAAUCAAUGCUUUAAAAGCAUUUAGCAGUCUUGAUAAUUAACUUUUGUCAAAAUAGCCUUACAAAGCAAUAAAUGAGAGCAGAUUAAUAUGUAGUCAUAAAGCUAUGAAUGGUUUAACGCUUUGAAAGGGUUGCUUCAUAAAUUUGACUUUUCUUUAUUUAUUUCUCUACCAUAAUCUCUCCCUGCAAUGCUAUCGCUCAUGGUUUUGGUAAAUGAGAAUAACCUGGGCCAUUGGGGUGAGCUCUGAAUGGGGUGAUAUAGAGUCAUAGAGUCAUAGAAUCAUGAAGGUUGGAAAAGACCUCUAAGAUCACCAAGUCCACCCCACCGUGCCCACUGCCCACGUCCCUCAGUGCCACAUCUCCAUGGUUCUUGAGCCCCUCCAGGGAUGGUGACCCCACCACCUCCCUGGGCAGCUGUGCCAGUGGUGCAUCACUGCUCUUUCAGAGAAGGAAUGCUUCCUAAUAUCCAAUCUGUACGUCCCCCGGCACAACUUAAAGCCAUCACCUCUCUUAGAGCUGCAGUAAUACCACUUCCCCCUAUGGAAAUGACCCCAUUAUGCAGCUUCAGAACUACCAGAAAUGUCCACAGGGCCUUUCACAACCGCAGGGUUGGGAAACACACUCUGUUCUGCCUCCACAGAGGGAUUGUGCAAUGGCUCCUAAUUGGGGCACUUCUCUAGGAAGUGCCCAGUUUAAGUGUUUGUCUUCCCCGUGACUGAUUUAAGACAUUAAAUCUCCCAAAUACCACUGCGGUUUCAGGCUGAUCCCAGCAACUCCCACCCCGCUUUGUAACAUCUGUGCAUACCAUACAUUGCUAUUCUUAGAUAGAAUUAGUGCCUGAAUAGUUUUCUUCCUGCACAUAACUGUGUUUAGAAGAUGCAUCCAUCCCCCCAGCCUGCUCUUUUCACUACUUACCUAAAGAGUCAAAACUGGCCUGGACCUGGCUUAGCAAUGGGAACCUUUCCUCUUUCCCGAGCUGUGAAAGACAAGAGCAGGAGAAAAGCUUCUGCCCAAAAAGAGGUCCAGAUCUGCUUGUGCAGAAGUGCACACUUUUGGUUUAAAAUUAACAGGUUCCCUGGCUAAA
rnacentral:lncRNA from 1 species